AAACUACAAGGGGAGCCGAAGCUCCCCCAGAAGUAGUUGCGUGCUCUUUUUUUAUUAUUGAUUGCGGGCUUCUUGUUUUUGUUGAUCGCCCUCGCCAUGAAUUUUUACCUUCAUGACACUCCCAAUCGGGAGUCAAGAGCAAACGGAUUGCUUUGGUCGCUGUGUUGCUGAUCUAUGAUCCAACCAGUUCAGGCUCUGCCUUAGGGCAGUU
rnacentral:misc_RNA from 1 species